AAAUAAGAAGCAACCUUAUGCAGUUAGUUUCGACCUAAUUAUUGGUAAUAAUUAUUACCCUUAUUUU
rnacentral:tRNA from 1 species